GGAGAACACCCAGUAGGAUGAAAAGUCUUCAAUCCAUGUGAUGUGAGGAUUAUUUGAGGGACCCCAGAAUGUUUAGUUUGGAGAAGAAAAAAAUCUGAAGACUGAUUUUCUUCAAGAAUUUGAAGGGCUGCUUCAAGAGAGGGAUUGGUUUUGUUCUAUUUGACCCUCAAGUAUAGAGUCAGAAGCAAUACAUAUAAAGUGCAAAGAGAAAUUCAAGUUUCACAUCAGGAAAAUCUUCUCAACCAUCGGAAUUUUCCAAAAGUGGAAUAGGCUGUUGGGAAGUGGUGUCCUGGAGCGAAGUUGGCCUGACCUGUUCAGAAUUAGGGACGUAAAUUGAGUGGAAAAAAGUUCAUUUUCAACAACUAUUUCAGCUGAUCAAAAACGGGAUAAAUUCUCUCUUGUAAAACAUGAUUACCUUAACACAUGCUCUAACUAUUUACCUUCUGCCAACAACAACUCACUUUGAGAGGAACUUUUAGACAGGUGAGCCAACUUUGUUACAGGAAUGAAAACAAAUUUUAAAGCUAAAAGAAAGUGUUUUCCAAAAAAUAAAACUACAAAAAAGUUGUGCUUAAUUUUCUAAGAUGAUAACUUAUUCCACAUUCUUAAUGGAUCAAGUAACCCUAUAUUAACUUGGACUUGAGAAAUGUAAUUUGUAAAUCACUUGGGGGGGGGGGUCACCUUUAGACCUUUAACAAUUCAUCAGUGUUUUAAGAAGUUACAUAGCAUGUAGGUGAGAGAGAGAGAGAGAGAGAGAGAGAGAGAGAGAGAGAGAGAGAGAGAGAGAGAGAGAGAGAGAGAGAGAGAGGGAG